rnacentral:lncRNA from 1 species
GUUUAUUGAGCCACAUAACUAAAUGGUCCAAAGGAAGUGUGGGUUUUGCAGGAGACAUGAUCCAGCUACUCAGCAAUGUUAUCAAAGACCAUCUCUCUGUGCUAUGCUCCAUGGAUAGUAUUGACUUCAUCCAAAGGCUAGCACCACUUGUGGAUACAAAGUGGCUGCCAGCAGCUCCCAAAGUAGUAACAUUUCUUACUCUUGUCCAGAUGAGGAUAGAGGGUCUUCCUCUCAGCAUCUGCAAUUAAAGUCUUAGAUCCUCUCUGAUUGGACCAGCCCAAGCCACAUGACUAUGUCUGAGCCAAUCACGAUAGCCAUGACCAGGGCCAUUGAAAGCCUCGUGUUCCAUCCCUGGAGCUGGAGUCAUUUGGAAUAAACUUUCCCUGACUCACAAGGAUCCUCAGAAAUUAGGAGCUGUUGGGAGAAUGAGGAAUGACCUGGAUGCUGAAGAGGCACCCACAGAUAUCUAAGAGAGAGGGGGAAGGUAUGAUUUUAAAAGGAGAUGGAAGUGUGUUAAUGUUGAAUGUCCUUUUUUUUCACAUUUUACAACUGGGACUUUGGUACUUUGAAUUGACUGGAAGAAGACCAAGCAGCAGCCACCACAGAGCCAGGCGUCUUUUGGUCUGGGACCGGGUUCCUUCUGUCUCGUGUGUUUCGUAAGGAAAGCUUUUGCUUCCCAGCUGCAGAAAUGUUUUCCAGGGGGGACUAGAGGACCAGAAUGUGCGGUAUUUCUUUCAGAGCUCAAAUAGAGUGAGUGGAGAGCAUAUGUAUCAAACAUUUACUGUGAUAUUUUUUUUUUUCUCAAAAUGGGGAAAUAAAUACAAAAAAUCAACAGAGGGAAUGAAAGCAGAGAAAUAGCCCAAAAGAAUACAGUACCAUACAUCUCCAGUUUAGACUGGCAAAAAGCAAAACUGCUUCUAGAAUGGUACAGGAAAUUGUGUGACAAAAUUAGAAUGGGCAGCUUUCCUAUUAAUUUUUACAUCGCUUUAUUUGUUUGCCAGUAAUUCAUAUCACCUAUAACAAAAGCACCAUCUUCCUGAAAGUUCUGGUAAAUAUACACUUCAGUUCACCGGGCAGAGGUUGGUAAAGCCGUGUCUUUUCAGAAAGUGUGAAUUAAGACAAGUAUUCAAAUGCAUUAGACCAAGGCUACUAUCUUUCAUAGCUACAUAUAAUGAACAUCUUCAGUGUAGGAUGAGUGGCCUCGCAAACUCCAUGAACAAAUAGUCACUUUAUUUAGAGAACCUUAUAAACCUCCUUUAGCUUUAAGUAGAUUGUCACACCUGGAGGGUCUCUAUUGGAGGAGCUUCAAUUUUCUUAUAAGAAAUGUGCUGAGAAGAAUUAGCCAAAGGAUAUUGAAAUUCCCUUCUUGCACAAAUGCAGAAAAGUAUUUUUCUUUGAAGUUCCUUGAGAUUAUGUUUUUCAAAGCCAAAGCAUUUGAAAUAUGUCCAUCAGGGGAAGCCUUUCUGACAAUUAUUUAUGAGACUCUGAGAAGCGGUGGAAGAGGGGACAGAAAUUUUAGAGGUAAAAUUGUGUUCCUUAAAAAGAUAUGUUGAAGGCUGGGCACGGUAGCUGACGCUUAUAAUCCCAGCACUUUGGGUGGCUGAGGUGGGCAGAUCACUCAAGGUCAGGAGUUCCAGACAAGCCUGGCCAAUUUGGUGAAACCUCAUCUCUAUUAAAAGUACAAAAAAUUAGCUGGUUGUGGUGGCAUGUGCCUGUAGUCCCAGCUACUCCGGAGGCUGAGGUGGGAGAACCACUUGAGCCUAGGGGGUAGGGGUUACAGUGAGCCGAGAUCACGCCACUGCACUCCAGCCUGGGUGACAGAGACUCUGUCUCAAACAAAAACAAACAAACAAAAAAAAAACAAAGGUGUGUCGAAGUCUGAUCCCUGCUACCUGUGCACGGGACCUUAUUUGGAAAUAAGGUCUUUGCAGAUGUAAUCAAGUUAAGAUGAAGUCAUACCAAAUUGGGGUGGGCCCUAAUCUAGUGACUGUUGUCUUUAUAAGAGGUCAUUUGGACACAGAGUCGUGGACAUAGAGAGGAGAGCAACCUGUGAUGAUGGGAGCAGAGAUUGCAGUGGUGCGCCUGCAACCAAGGAACACCACGGACUGCCCACAACUACCAGAAGCUUGGAAGAGGCAAGGGAGGAUUCUUCCCCAGAGUCUUCAGGUGGUGCACAGUCCUGCUGACACCUUGUUCUUGGACUUCCAGCCUCCAGAACUGUGAGAGAAUGAAUUUCUGUUGUUUUAAGCUGCCCAGUUUGUGGUCAUUUGUCAUGGCGGCCCUACGGAACUAGUACAGCCUGGACAAGCUCUAAGAUCUUCUUCCAGGCAGAGCAAGACCUAUAUCCUCUCCCGCCUUGACUCUGCAGAUAAACACAUGUCCUCAGCCAACCAGAUGGACUCAAGGUGACCUCACAAGUGCCUCCCUCUCCUGCUAAGGCCACCUGCCAGGGUCACUGUGUCACUCAGAUUCCCAACCUCAAAGAACCCCAACCUUUGGAGUCAACUCUCAUCAACCAGACACCAUAAUUUAAUUAGAAAAGGGGAGAUUUAAGAUAGAAAAACAAUACAGGACAUGGGUUUUCUGAGCAUGAAAUAGCUCCUGAACCCAAGAAAAAUUUCAUGUUCCAGUAGAAGGGCAUUGAUGACAAAGCCUGCUUCUGCCGUUUACUUGCUGGGGCUUUGGAUAAGACACUUGAGUGCUGUGAAUAUCAAGCUGGUCAUCUUUAAAAUGGGUCUAUCAUUCCUGCCUGGCCAAUUGCUUAGGGUUGUUUGGGGAACAAUUGAGAGAGACCGUGAGUGAACCAGGUUGAAAUGGAAAUUGCAUAUGAGUCUGAGGCAUUGAUUUUUAUUAGGGAGGCUACAAAACCCAGUUUUUAGUGAGAGAGGGAGAAAGUAUGAGAGGGAGAUGCUACUGGAAUUUAAUACUAGUGAGUUUCUCAGGCAGAGCUCAGGAUGAAGAAAUUUAUUUGCUCAAGGUCAACCAGCAAAAACUGGAAAAGACCUACAACUAGAAUUUGGGGUAUAAAAUUGUAUACUUGCUCCUGUUCUACCUUCUCACUGACCCCUUCCCUCCAACCUGCUCUAUGUAUUUUCUUUUUGAGACAGAGUCUUGCUCUGUCGCCCAGGCUGGAAUGAAGUGGCACAAUCUCGGCUCACUGCAACUGCUGCCUCCCAGGUUCAAGCGAGUCUCCUGCCUCAGCCUCCCAAGUAGCUGGGGUUACAGGCGUGUGCCACCACGCCCGGCUAAUUUUUUUUUUUUUUUUAGUAGAGUUGGGGUUUCACCAUGUUGGCCAGGCUGGUCUCAAACUCCUGGCCUCAAAUGAUCCACCCGCCUCGGCCUCCCAAUGUGCUGGGGUUACAGGCAUAAGUCACUGCGCCUGGCCCAUAUUUUAUUUUCUAAAUUGUUUUUUCUAAUUGAGGAAGCUUUUAUUCCUCCUUCUCCCCUCUCAAUUCCUGUCCCUCUCUCUGUCCUUCCUUUUCCCUCAUCCUCUUUCUCUUCCUCUCAAACCUCAUUUUUCCUUUGAAAAGUUUCAAGUAGAAUGAAUUCAGUGUUCUCAGCCGAGUUCCAGCAUAAAGAGCUCACUAUGCACUUCGACAGAAUUAUCUCCUUUGAAGAAUGCCCACUUUAAUCUCCUCUAAGACAGGUUUUUGUGGUGUUAGAACAAAAUGACAUAAUACUCUUCAAGCUAAAAGGCUUAUUAAGUAGCAUUCAGAAAAUCCUGCAACUUCCUCGUAAUUGGAGGCUUAAUUGGGUGGGUUUAAUAGCAUUUGGUUAUUAGGGCUAAUCAAAUAUUCCAGAAUAAUUGACUCAACUUUUUUUUUUGGGGGGGGCAAUUAUCAUCUCUAAUAUUGUUGUGAUUAAAAAGAUACAUCUUGGCUGAGUGAAGACAUUGUUCUAUGUAAUGCAUGUCUCAGUAGGGUUGGAACCAACAUAACCCUGGGCCAGCAGCUUCAUGGCAGAUUUAGUCAUAGCACAUGAUCAUAGCCCAGGAGAGCAUCUCUUUCGUCUGAGGUCUCUUGUGAUGCAAUGAAAAGCUUGAUUGUUUCCAGGGAACCUGUUUCAAGACCUGAUUAUGGGUAUGGGGGAGAGACAGUUGGGUUAGACCAUGUCAUAUCGUUUCAUCAGGGAGAUAAUAACCACCAUUCUAGGCUGGGAACUCCUCCGCCCCUUAAUAACCAUGGGACUUCAGGAAAGGGUGGGGGUCCCUGGGUUCUCAGCAGGGGAAGGAAGGAUAAUAAUUCCCACCUUUACCUCUCACAUGAGGAAAGGAGUAUGAACAGCCUUGAAAUUAAAUUGCAAAACCCUAUGGAAAUAGGAAGGGCUCCUGUCAGUGCAGUAAAUCAUCUUGGAGGGAUUCGAAUGGGGUUGGGAGAGGUUCCCUGUACUACUGCUUUCUUUGACUUGAACUCCAAAUGCGUCCUCCAACUUAGUCCCUUCUCAGGAGCUGGCCUUGACAUUCCCAUCCAAAUAGGACGCUUUGGUCCUCCUGACAUGCCCUCCCUCAUUGAUUUUGCACCAGAGAAAGUGCUAUACCCCAAGGUCUCCCUUAGCAAACCUAGUUUGUCCAUGCUUGUCUCUCUGGCCCCCUUUGGUUCGCCUGCCCAUGUGGCUACCCAGGUCUUCCUCCCUGAAGGUGAAGCCUUAGGGGACCAGGUGAGGGAUAUGGGGUCCUGACUGCAACACUUGGAGCACCUCAGGACUCUGCUAUCACCAAUUUAAACUCUCACCUGCUGUCCAAGCCACUGCCACCCCUGUGCUGUGAUUUCUCAGGGAUGGUGGGGACCACGCUUGCGUUUCUGCCUUUGACCAGAACCAGGCCACACACCUUACUCCUGUCAAAUCACUCUUCCUUCCCAGGAGCUGAGGAAACGUAGGGGGUGAGAGGAAGGUGGCCCUUAGGUUCCAGAGCAUCUGUUCCCGCAGCUGUGAGGUCCCUGCUGUGGUUCUCUGACAUGACCUUCCCCUGUGGGGGUGGGAGGGAGGAGCAUUCCUCAAAGGUGCCCUUGGCUGUGGCCAGAGCCCCCACUUCCCUGUGCUUUCACCUGUUCUGUGGAGCUGGUAAGGGGAAAAGCGGCAAGGACAUAGCAACCCAGGAAGAUCUGGGGACUAUUCUGCUGGCAGUCCUUCAUGAGGAGAGCUGGGUGUCUUCACUCCUGCCAACUCCUGCGUCCACUUCUACCCCCCAGUGUCAACUUCCAGCAGAAAGGAAAACCUCUUCGCUCUAAGAGCAGCUCUGGGUCAGCCUCCUAGGGCAAUGAAAAUCAUCCAUGGCCACCCAUUCCCCAGUGCAGCUCUAGACUGUGGGGAAAUGUGUUAAAUCAAGAAUGGGCACAUUGCUGGGUGUGACAGCUUACACUUGUAAUCCCAGCGCUGCAGGAGGUGGAGGUGAUGAUGGGAGGAUCGCUUAAGGACAGGAGUUGGAGACCAGCCUGGGCAACACAGCGAGACUCUAUCUCUACAGAUAAUUAGCUGGGGGAGUGGCACAUGCCUUUAGUCCCAGCUACUUGGGAGGCUGAAGUGGGAGGAUCACUUGAGCCCAGGAGUUCAAGGUUACAGUGAGCUGUGAUUGUACCACUGCAUGCACUCCAGCCUGGGCAAGAGUGAGACCAACUCAAAAAAAAAAAAAAAAAAAAAAAAAAGAAGAACAGGCACGUCCGUCACACUGGAGCCUGUUCAGGGGGCAAGAAUUGAACCUGGGCUUAAGAAUCUGGGAAAUAUAAAGUUUCCUGUGAGCCGCUCCGUCACAACACAUAUCCGGUUCUUCGGAUUCUCAAGACAGAAGCCUGGAAGCCACCCCAGUUCCUCCAUCUUCUGCUGCCCUAAGCCCUCUUCCAAUCAGCCAGUGACUCCAGUCAAUUCCAUCUCCUACAUUUCCUCCAGGUCCAUGUCCUGAUGUCUGGCCCCAGCAUCAGGUCUGAGUCUGCAACUGGUGUCACUCCUCUGAUUUGCUUCUCUGUCAUUUGCCCUCUGUCUUCAGUCCAUCCUCCCACACUGGCUGCAUCUGACCAUGUCACUCACCUACUCAGAACACCUGGGGAGCCCCUCUUGUCCCCAGACUCCACUGCCCAAUCCCCACAGCCCUGUAGGGCCUGGCCUUGAUGGCAGGGGUUCUCCUGGAGCAGCCCUGGCCCUUAGCCCUCACAUUCUCUCCUGCCAUGUUACUGUACUGCCUCGGCUCAAAAGCGUGUCUUCUUUUUUCUACAUUGUAACAUUUCUGAAAUUUCAGAAUGCAUCUGGCACAGACACAUGCGUCUGAAAAUGGACAGAUAUCCUCAGUUUUUCGGUUCCUCUCUACCCUGAGAAGUUGUUAAGAAAUCACUAUAAUCAUUGGUGUGGCCGGAGUGACAAUCACUUUGGCAACGAGGCAGGAAGUAGAGAGAGAUGCUGUCCUCUGAGAUUUGGACUUCAACUAGUGGAGCCCCUGAAGGAGAAUGAGAAGGGUCACAUUUGUGUUUUGGGCAAGAUCUGUUCUGGAAGUCCUGUGAAGAAUGGAUUGGAAAAUAAUGAGAGUGGAAAGAAGAUGGGUGAGAACCAGAUCUUAGGAGCAGAAAUCCCUAGAAGGCACAUUGUAGAUGGACGUUAAAGCAAUGACUUGUUUGUGCUCAGUGAGUGCACGGAAGGGAUGGGCACUCUUUUUCUGUAAAUGCCUGGAUAGUACGUAUCUUAGGCUUUGCGUGCCAUACCAUCUCUGUCACAGCUGCACACCUCUGCCAGCGGAGUAGCUCAAAGCAGCUGUAGACAAUUUGCAAAAGAAUAGGUAUGGCUGUGUUCCAGUAAAACCUAUUUAUAAAAAUAAGUGGUUUGCUGACCCCCAGUGCAAGGUGACACUCAGGAUUUUCUUGACCAGAAUUCUGUAUUAACCAGAGUCUAGGAGUGGUGCAGAUACAGAGGGGUUAUUAGUCAGGGACCUCAAUGGAAAGCAUCAAGGUAAAGGGCCUAUUAAUGAAGGUAUGAGUGCAAUAAGGGAAGCAACAAGGGGUGCUGAGGCCCCCGGGGACCCACAGCAGCAGGAAGCCAUCACCAUCCUGAGGCCAGAGGGGCAGGGAGAGGGAGUGGUGCUCGUAGAACCCAGGUGAGAGCUAUGUCUUGGGAGAGGAGCCACCUGGCAGGAGCCGAAGCUGUGGUGGGACGCAGUCACCGUAAGGACUGUGCCCAAGCCAGGAAGAGAGGGAGGGGAGGAACAAAUGGCCCGACCUCCCUCUCUGCUGUUUGUUUUUUCCAGAGUUGCUAUUUGCCUCAUUGCCCAACCUCAGCCCCAUUUUACUUGUGGUUUAUCAUCCUGCCUCUAAGCUGUUACGUAUCUCAAACUAAUGAAUGUUGUUAAGAAAGAAAAGAAAAAAAAAUCCAGAGAACUUAAAAUCUAGUAGAAGAGAUAGGCCUGCUGACGAACCAGAGCAGGGAUUCAAACACGUUAUAGGAGAGGCAUGAGCCAGGAGCCACACGAAUGCAAGAGGGCUUUCCAUAAUCCUGCUUUAGUAACUGAGCACAAUGUCUGAGUGUCCUGUCCUUUCUACCCAGCCUGCAUUUCCCCCCAAUCUAAACUUCACUUUUUUGUUGUUUAUUUGAGGUAGAGUCUUGCUCUGUCGCCCAGGCUGGAGUGCAGUGGUGUGAUCUGGGCUCACUGCAGCCUCUACCUCCCAGGCUCAAGCAAUCCUCCCACCUCAGCCUCUCGAGUAGCUGGGACUACAGGAACACGCCACCCUGCUUGGCUAUAAACUUCACAUUUAAUUUGUAUUUAUAUCCUCUUACUGUAAUGUUCAUGGGUGCCAGGCACAGUUUUAGGUACUGCAGAUCAUUUGUAGGUAAUUAAGAUUCCAGGAAGUCAGGCCAGGUGCAGUGGCUCAUGCCUGUAACCCCAGCACUUUGGGAGGCUGAGGUGGACAGAUCUCUCGAGCCCAGGAGUUCGAGACCAGCCCGGGCAACAUAGUGAAACCUGUCUGUACAAAACAACAACAAAAAAGCCAGGUGUGGCAGCAUGUGUCUGUAGUUCCAGUUACUCUGGAGGCUGAGGUGGAGGAUGGCUCGAACCUGGGAGGUGGAGGUUGCAGUGAGCUGAGAUGGCGCCACUGUGCUUCAGCCUGGAGGACAGAGUCACACUUUGUCUCAAAGAAAAAAAGAAAAGAAAUCCAAAGAACUUGAAAUCUAGCAGAAGAGACAGGCCUGCUGACGAACCAGACAGAGCAGGGACUCAAACAUGUUAUGGGAGCGGCAUGAGCCAGGAGCCACACAUGCAGAGGGCUAAAUUUGGACUGGUCUGAGGGAAGGCUUUGCAGAGAGGGUGACAUCUGAACUUGACCUUGACGGGUGGACUACGGUUUUUGCAGGCAGAGGAAACAGCUUGAUCAGAGGCACAGGGCUGAGAGGGAUGUAUUCUUGGAGGACCAGGGGCUGGGGAGAGACAGAGCUGGAGCAGGCUACAUGGGUGCGGUGGAAGGUGGAGAGUGGCUGAGAUGAGAUUAGAAAGGCAGGCAGGGGCUAGGUCACAAAGGGCUGUGAAUAGCCUGCCCAGAUAAUUCGGUCUGAUUCUGUAGGGCACUGGGGACUGAACAGAGACAAAUAACAAUUGAGCCCAUACCUUGAAUACUAAACUCUCAUAUUAACAUUUUAAAAAGCAUUCUCUCUCAAAUUCUGUCCUCUUCCCUCUUUGCUAUGACUUUUAC